rnacentral:rRNA from 1 species
GGUUAAGCGACUAAGCGUACACGGUGGAUGCCCUGGCAGUCAGAGGCGAUGAAGGACGUGCUAAUCUGCGAUAAGCGUCGGUAAGGUGAUAUGAACCGUUAUAACCGGCGAUUUCCGAAUGGGGAAACCCAGUGUGAUUCGUCACACUAUCAUUAACUGAAUCCAUAGGUUAAUGAGGCGAACCGGGGGAACUGAAACAUCUAAGUACCCCGAGGAAAAGAAAUCAACCGAGAUUCCCCCAGUAGCGGCGAGCGAACGGGGAGCAGCCCAGAGCCUGAAUCAGUGUGUGUGUUAGUGGAAGCGUCUGGAAAGGCGCGCGAUACAGGGUGACAGCCCCGUACACAAAAAUGCACAUACUGUGAGCUCGAUGAGUAGGGCGGGACACGUGGUAUCCUGUCUGAAUAUGGGGGGACCAUCCUCCAAGGCUAAAUACUCCUGACUGACCGAUAGUGAACCAGUACCGUGAGGGAAAGGCGAAAAGAACCCCGGCGAGGGGAGUGAAAAAGAACCUGAAACCGUGUACGUACAAGCAGUGGGAGCACAGAGCAAUCUGUGUGACUGCGUACCUUUUGUAUAAUGGGUCAGCGACUUAUAUUCUGUAGCAAGGUUAACCGAAUAGGGGAGCCGAAGGGAAACCGAGUCUUAACUGGGCGUUAAGUUGCAGGGUAUAGACCCGAAACCCGGUGAUCUAGCCAUGGGCAGGUUGAAGGUUGGGUAACACUAACUGGAGGACCGAACCGACUAAUGUUGAAAAAUUAGCGGAUGACUUGUGGCUGGGGGUGAAAGGCCAAUCAAACCGGGAGAUAGCUGGUUCUCCCCGAAAGCUAUUUAGGUAGCGCCUCGUGAAUUCAUCUCCGGGGGUAGAGCACUGUUUCGGCAAGGGGUCAUCCCGACUUACCAACCCGAUGCAAACUGCGAAUACCGGAGAAUGUUAUCACGGGAGACACACGGCGGGUGCUAACGUCCGUCGUGAAGAGGGAAACAACCCAGACCGCCAGCUAAGGUCCCAAAGUCAUGGUUAAGUGGGAAACGAUGUGGGAAGGCCCAGACAGCCAGGAUGUUGGCUUAGAAGCAGCCAUCAUUUAAAGAAAGCGUAAUAGCUCACUGGUCGAGUCGGCCUGCGCGGAAGAUGUAACGGGGCUAAACCAUGCACCGAAGCUGCGGCAGCGACGCUGAUGCGUUGUUGGGUAGGGGAGCGUUCUGUAAGCCUGUGAAGGUGUACUGUGAGGUAUGCUGGAGGUAUCAGAAGUGCGAAUGCUGACAUAAGUAACGAUAAAGCGGGUGAAAAGCCCGCUCGCCGGAAGACCAAGGGUUCCUGUCCAACGUUAAUCGGGGCAGGGGUGAGUCGACCCCUAAGGCGAGGCCGAAAGGCGUAGUCGAUGGGAAACAGGUUAAUAUUCCUGUACUUGGUGUUACUGCGAAGGGGGACGGAGAAGGCUAUGUUGGCCGGGCGACGGUUGUCCCGGUUUAAGCGUGUAGGCUGGUUUUCCAGGCAAAUCCGGAAAAUCAAGGCUGAGGCGUGAUGACGAGGCACUACGGUGCUGAAGCAACAAAUGCCCUGCUUCCAGGAAAAGCCUCUAAGCAUCAGGUAACAUCAAAUCGUACCCCAAACCGACACAGGUGGUCAGGUAGAGAAUACCAAGGCGCUUGAGAGAACUCGGGUGAAGGAACUAGGCAAAAUGGUGCCGUAACUUCGGGAGAAGGCACGCUGAUAUGUAGGUGAAGCGACUUGCUCGUGGAGCUGAAAUCAGUCGAAGAUACCAGCUGGCUGCAACUGUUUAUUAAAAACACAGCACUGUGCAAACACGAAAGUGGACGUAUACGGUGUGACGCCUGCCCGGUGCCGGAAGGUUAAUUGAUGGGGUUAGCGCAAGCGAAGCUCUUGAUCGAAGCCCCGGUAAACGGCGGCCGUAACUAUAACGGUCCUAAGGUAGCGAAAUUCCUUGUCGGGUAAGUUCCGACCUGCACGAAUGGCGUAAUGAUGGCCGGGCUGUCUCCACCCGAGACUCAGUGAAAUUGAACUCGCUGUGAAGAUGCAGUGUACCCGCGGCAAGACGGAAAGACCCCGUGAACCUUUACUAUAGCUUGACACUGAACAUUGAGCCUUGAUGUGUAGGAUAGGUGGGAGGCUUUGAAGUGUGGACGCCAGUCUGCAUGGAGCCGACCUUGAAAUACCACCCUUUAAUGUUUGAUGUUCUAACGUUGACCCGUGAUCCGGGUUGCGGACAGUGUCUGGUGGGUAGUUUGACUGGGGCGGUCUCCUCCUAAAGAGUAACGGAGGAGCACGAAGGUUGGCUAAUCCUGGUCGGACAUCAGGAGGUUAGUGCAAUGGCAUAAGCCAGCUUGACUGCGAGCGUGACGGCGCGAGCAGGUGCGAAAGCAGGUCAUAGUGAUCCGGUGGUUCUGAAUGGAAGGGCCAUCGCUCAACGGAUAAAAGGUACUCCGGGGAUAACAGGCUGAUACCGCCCAAGAGUUCAUAUCGACGGCGGUGUUUGGCACCUCGAUGUCGGCUCAUCACAUCCUGGGGCUGAAGUAGGUCCCAAGGGUAUGGCUGUUCGCCAUUUAAAGUGGUACGCGAGCUGGGUUUAGAACGUCGUGAGACAGUUCGGUCCCUAUCUGCCGUGGGCGCUGGAGAACUGAGGGGGCUGCUCCUAGUACGAGAGGACCGGAGUGGACGCAUCACUGGUGUUCGGGUUGUCAUGCCAAUGGCACUGCCCGGUAGCUAAAUGCGGAAGAGAUAAGUGCUGAAAGCAUCUAAGCACGAAACUUGCCCCGAGAUGAGUUCUCCCUGACCCUUUAAGGGUCCUGAAGGAACGUUGAAGACGACGACGUUGAUAGGCCGGGUGUGUAAGCGCAGCGAUGCGUUGAGCUAACCGGUACUAAUGAACCGUGAGGCUUAACCUU